AUGUUUUUCUUACCAGUCCCGCUGGAGGAUGGCUGGAUAGCACUGAUGUGGGACAUGAUGGAGAGGAAGCUCCAUGUCCUUCACCCACUCAUCAAAGGUGAUGGUCCUAGCGAACCAACGAAAGACAAGCUCGAGCUGGUUGCCUGGAAACUUCACCACGCGCUGUUCGACUGCCUUAAUGAGUAUUAUGCUGGAUGGCCCACGCAAGAUGGCCAGUGGGUGACCAAGUACCCAGUCUUAGCUGAAGAACAUUUUAGCAGAGAUGAAAUUGGCGCGUGUGUGCUCCAUAUCUGCCGACACUAUGAUGGCGUCAAUCUGAAGAUUCCCCUUACCAAGUACAAUGCCGGCAAAACAAAAAGGCAAGCACUACACGAGUGUGUCAAACUACAGGGGAACUCAUCGAAGCUGGCGCACGAGGCUCUGUGGACGGUACUAGCACCCACUGACUCAUGUCUUAGCGACACGUAG
rnacentral:rRNA from 1 species